GCGGCGGCGAGGGUCCGCUCUGCCUGCAGGUGGUGGCGCGCGCGGGCGCCAGUGCGCACGCGCGGCUGCGGCCCUGCCGCGCCCACGCGCUGCAGCGCUGGGAGAUAGACUACAGCGAGCGCAACAACUUCGGAAUCACUGAGGGCGUGGAACUCAGCGACGUGGAGAAGGUUCUGAAAAGGUUACGAGAGCGGUCUACCCCCACCAGCUGAUGUCCUGUCGACGGACGAGACCCUCACGAACG